UACGUAGGGGGCUAGCGUUAUCCGGAAUUAUUGGGCGUAAAGGGUGCGUAGGUGGUUUCUUAAGUCAGAGGUGAAAGGCUACGGCUCAACCGUAGUAAGCCUUUGAAACUGGGAAACUUGAGUGCAGGAGAGGAGAGUGGAAUUCCUAGUGUAGCGGUGAAAUGCGUAGAUAUUAGGAGGAACACCAGUUGCGAAGGCGGCUCUCUGGACUGUAACUGACACUGAGGCACGAAAGCGUGGGGAGCAAACAGG
rnacentral:rRNA from 1 species